rnacentral:snoRNA from 19 species
CCAACCAACUUUACAUGAUGAGAUACAAUCAAGAACCAAAUAUAUUUUAGGAAGAGCCGGAAGAGGUAUGGCAUGCCGUCACUAUUAAACCUCAUGGUGCGACAGUUGCAUUACAUUCCCAGCAAAGGAUUGAGAUUUUCCU